rnacentral:lncRNA from 10 species
GUUGGCUUGGACCCUCAGCCUAGCUUCCCUGCUCUCAGACAGUGGUGGGUGGAAGUUGUUCAACAACCUGGGAGAGAGAACAAGAUGGGAGUGGUGGUGAGAGUAAGUUCUUGAGAAAAUAACAGUCUCCUCUAGGGAGGACUGGAUUUGAUCGUCAGCCUGUGUUCGCCAAUCCUUGUUCUUGUUAAACCCUCUAGGGUAGUUGGUUCUUGCUUUCUUACUUCACGUGCACAAAGACAGACACCUGAGGACAUAAAUGCUUCCACCUCUGACCCUUUGAAAUGGCCUCUCCCAUCCUAUGCUGCCGCUGCCCCUUCUUUGGGUCAAAUUCGCUUCAUGAUGCAGGAGUGUGUCUUUC